CUGUGCCCCAUCAUUACCUCAUGGGUCAAUAACCUGACUCCACGGGUUGCUGGUGAAAUAAUAAAUACAUUGCUGUCUUUUGAUAAUUUCGAAAUCACCGCAUAAAUAUCUUCAAAGUGAAGGAGCUACAUUUGCACCAAUCUGAACCGAGUCCUACUGGCUGGCUGGUCUCCUUGCUGAAUGCUCGCCACACCUUUAGAGUGUACACGUUUAUUACUCAGCUGCUUUCUCAAAUUUCAUGAUCC